rnacentral:lncRNA from 1 species
UAAAACAAAUAAAUACAUAGAUGAAAUAAAAAAACAUUCAAAAAACAUGCAAUUACACACAUAAAGUCACAUAGGGGUACAUAGGAUCAAGUAAAAUCAAAAUAAAGGAGUAAAGUGUACCUCCCUUGAAUUGGUGACCUAAUGAAAUGACAUUUCUCUUAUUUACCCUUUAAUACAAAGAAAAUGAUUAAGGUACCACUUUAAUUAACAAAUAAUCAUAAGAGAUGGAAAUAAACAUGAAAUUGAAUCAAUUAAAGUACUUAAAUAAAAGUAAACAACCUAUAUUCAAGCAAAUUAAAACAAGUGGGGACUUAAUUGGAAGAAUUAAAGAAGUUUGAGGAGUCAAAUUAUUAUUAUUAUUGCAAAUAUUAAGGGUCUCAAUUAAAAUAAAAUAAAAUAAAAUUAAUGGCUUAAGAUGAAACCUAUCAAAACCAAAUGCUAAAAUUCACAAAAAUAAAUCAAAACCCUCUCACCAAACCCCAAACAAAAAUAUUACUCAAAUCUAAACCAUUUGUACAAAAAUCCAAAUAAAAAACUAUAAAUCUGUCAAAAAAUUAUUAAACCUCUUAAUUUCAUCCUAAAAUUCACCAAUAACCUGUCCAAAAAUCACAUUAAGACAUACCAAAGAAAAAUAACAUUUUAAAGGGACAAAAUCGAUUAAAUUUUCCAAUUUUUUGGCCAAAAUAGCAUUAUAGGGAACUUGAGGGGCUGAAGUGAAAUUUUGGAAAAUCUUUCAUGCAUAGGCUUCGAAGAAGCUCUUCUCCUUCGCUGGUUUCUGCUGCAAAAUUGCAGCUCAUCCCUACGCCAGUAUUUUCAUACAAAAAUUCGAACCAAACCCAUUAUUUCAUCUACCAAAACCCACAUAAAUCUCAACUCAUCAUUGUUAACAGAAAUCAAACAUGAUUGCCCCUUUCACGAAGAUUUAACAAUGCAUCUGUACAUGAAAAAGCAGCAAAGAAAAGAGUGAAACUUGCGGUAAACGUAGACAUGCCAUCCCAGUCAAACAGCAAGCAAACCAAGAACUACAAGCAAACUAAAACCCAGCAACCAAAGAGAGGAAAAGGAUCUGUCGACACUGCUGCGACAAGCCAAGACUAUGCAACUCAGGUCGAAGAGCAACAAAAAAAUGGACAUCAGCUCAUGAAUCGCAACAUCAACUCCAUAAUUCCUCCAUCAGUCUACUUCGACACAAACUCAUCAAGUAAAUAUGGAAAAUUCAUCAUAAAACUGAAAAGGCUGACUUCCAACAAUCAAAAUCAUGCAAUGGACAUCAACAAAGGAGUCUCAACAGUCAUCAGCUACCAAACAUUGACACAACAAAACCACUCAAGAUUCUUAGCAUAUGAACUUGGAUUCUCGCAAAAAAUGGUAUUAAAGCAAUAAAAGAAGAAGUUAAGGUUACCUUGGAACCUUUGCAGAGUAGAACGAACGGGAGAAGCACCCAAAAAACCACGCUGGUCUGGAAACGAACCCAGGAAACUCUUGUUGCAGAAAUUUCAGCCUUGGCGAGCAGGCUAAUUUGGGCCGCAAUUUGAACUUCUUCCUGAUGUUAUUUCGAAAAGGUUGCUGAAUGAAAGUUCUUAUCCUCACUUCGUAGAUAUCCCAAAUUCCUAAAUUACCCAAAAAGAGGCCGAUUCAGUUGAGAAAUUCGCAUCUAAAUAUGACGGGAAACCAGCCUGAACCCAGAAAUUUUUCCAGCAGAAAUUUUUUUUCCCUCGCUGAUUUCCCUCCCACUUUUCUUUCUUUUGCCUUUCGUUUUCCUUUCUAAUCUUCCUCGGGCUCUCUCGCUUUUCCCUUUCUUCCUCUCUUUCUCUCUUCCUUCCUCCCUUUCUCCCUUCUCUUCUCCUUUUUCCUUGCUUCCCCGAAACCCUCUUUUUUCCUUCCCGUAGCUUCUUUAUCUCCCUCUUCUGAUCUCCUCUCUUGCUCUCCGCUCCUUUCCUGUUUGCCCCCAAAGCUCAUCUCCCUCUCUUUCUGGUUUUUUCUUUGUUUGAUCUCCCCAGAUCCUCUCUUGUUUUCUUUUCAGUUUUCUUUCCUUGUUUUCCUGCCCCUGAUGCUCUCCUUUUUGGUUCCAGAUUUUCUUCCUCCUCUCCAGCUCACUUCCCUUCCCCUCUUCCCUUUCUUUUGCCCGAAGCUUUUUCCUUGUCCCCUUUUUUUCAGCUCCAAAACCCUCUUUUUUCCCUCCUCUUUCUUUCUUUCUUUCCUCCUCCCCCGCGCAGCUCUUCCUUCCUGCCCGCAAACCCUCUUUUCUGGUUUUUCCUUUUCCUCUAGUUCCUUCUUUUUUUUCUCUUCCCCCGCGCAGCUCUUCCUUCCUUUCUUUCUUGGUUUCUUGCCCUUUUCCUUUUUCUUUUUUUUUUCUUUCUACCCGUAGCUUCCCUUUCGUUCCUUUGGUUUCUUUUUCCUAAUUUCCAGAUUUUUCCUAUUCUAACAAGUGCUCUAGCC